UACGUAGGGCGCGAGCGUUGUCCGGAAUCAUUGGGCGUAAAGAGCUCGUAGGCGGCCGGUUGCGUCUGCUGUGAAAGCCCCCGGCUCAACUGGGGAGGGUCAUUCGAUACUGAUCGACUCGAAGGCAGGAGAGGGUAGUGGAAUUCCCGGUGUAGUGGUGAAAUGCGUAGAUAUCGGGAGGAACACCAGUGGCGAAGGCGACUACCUGGCCUGUUCUUGACGCUGAGGCGCGAAAGCUAGGGGAGCAAACGGG
rnacentral:rRNA from 1 species